rnacentral:rRNA from 1 species
AGAGUUCGAUCCUGGCUCAGAUUGAACGCUGGCGGGAUGCUUACCGCAUGCAAGUCGGGCAGCAACACGGACUUCGGUCUGGUGGCGAGUGGCGAACGGGUGAGUAAUGUCGGAACGUGCCCUAGUAGCGGGGGAUAACUACGAAAGCGCAGCUGUACCGCCGCCCUUCGGGGGAAAGCAGGGGACCUUCAGGCUCUCUUAUUAGAGCGGCCGAUAUCGGAUUGGCCAGUUGGUGGAGUAACGGCUCACCAAAGGCGACGAUCCGUAGCUGGUUUGAGAGGACUGACCCAUCCACACUGGGACUGAGACACGGCGAACUCCUACGGGGAGGCAAGCGUGGGGAAUUUUGGACAAUGGAAACCUGAUCCAGCCAUCCCGCGUGUGCGAUGAAGGCCUUCGGGUUGUAAAGCACUUUUGGCAGGAAAAGAAACGGCACGGGAUAAUACCCGUGCAACUGACAAUACCUACAGAAUAGCACCAUUAACUACGUGCCAGCAGCCGCGGUAAUACGUAGUGCAAGCGUGAAAUCGGAAUUACUGGUGGGCGUAAAGCGUGCGCGAGCGGUUCGGAAGAAAGAUGUGAAAUCCAGAGCUUAACUUUGGAACUGCAUUUUUAUGCGAGCUGAAGUGUGCUCCAAGAGGAGGUGGAAUUCCGCGUGUAGCAGUGAAAUGCGUAGAUAUGCGGAGGAACACCGAUACUUCGGCAGCCUCCUGGGAUAACACUGACGCUCAUGCACGGCAGUAAGAGGGGAGCAAACAGGAUUGAAUACCUGGUAGUCCACGCCUAAACGAUGUCAACUAGCUGUUGCGGGCCUUCGGGCCUUGGUAGCCGCAACUAACGCGUGAAGUUGGCCGCCUGAUACGGUCGCAGAUUAAAACUCAAAAGGAAUUGACGGGGACCCACUACAAGCGGUGGAUGAUGUGAUUAAUUCGAUGCAACGCGAAAACCUUACCUACCCUUGACAUGCUGGAAUCCCGAAGGGUGGGAGUGCUCGCAAGAAGGGAACGGAACACGAAUUGCUGCAUGGCUGUCGUCAGCUCGUGUCGUGAGAUGUUGGGUUAAGUCCACCAGCGAGCGCAACCCUUAUCAUUAGUUGCCACGAAAAGGGCUGUCUGGCGAGACUGCCGGUGACAAACCGGAGGAAGGUGGGGAUGACGUCAAGUCCUCAUGGCCCUUAUGGGUAGGGCUUCACACGUCAUACAAUGGUCAGGACAGAAGGUCGCCUUCCCAACCCGCGAGGGGGGAGCCAAUCCCAGAAACCGUCGUAGUCCGGAUCGCAGUCUGCAACUCUGACUGCGUGAAGUCGGAAUCGCUGGCAAUCGCGGAUCAGCAUGUCGCAGUGAAUACGUUCCCGGGUCUUUAUACACCGCCCGUCACUGCAUGGGAAUGGGUUUUACCAGAAGUGAACCAACAAUAACCCAGCGGAGGGCGAUUACCACAGUAAGUUCAUGACUGGGGGUGAAGUCGUGCUCAAGGUAA